GACAGAGGCCCCGAGCGUUAGGCGGAAUCACUGGGCUUAAAGCGCGUGUAGGCGGAUCGUUAAGUGUCUUGUGAAAUCCCACGGCUCAACCGUGGAACUGCUGGGCAUACUGGCGAUCUUGGGCCACUCAGGGGUUGCCGGAACAAGCGGUGGAGCGGUGAAAUGCGUAGAUAUCGCUUGGAACGCCGAAGGUGAAGACAGGCAACUGGGAGUGCGCCGACGCUGAGACGCGAAAGCCAGGGGGGCGAACGGG
rnacentral:rRNA from 1 species